UUGAUAGGCUAACGUGGUUCGACAUUUAUAGUUCUAGCAUUGAUUUUUUAUUGCUAUUCCACUUUAGUUUAUGAAUCCAUAAAAAUGUAACGACUCUACAAAAAAUGAAAAAAAUAUUGUCGCUGCUAUGCUUCAUGAUAUCAGUGUCAAUAAAUUGUUCUCAAAACAAACAAAACAUAGAUGAAUUUAUCGAUGAUAUACUGGCGUCAAGAAAGUUCGCUAAACUGGUUGAUAUUAUAGCCGAAAAGACAAUAGUUAAGUUAAGGAAUAUGAAAAGCAAUAUUCUUUUUGGUACAAAUAGUAAAAAUCAAGCAAAAAUUCGUCGUCACAUUCAUGCUAUUAAGGAAAAUUCAUUGCGAAAUAUAUCGUUAAAAUAUAGACAAUUAAUCAAUCAAUUCAAUGGAGAAAAUCUUGUGAUCCAACCAAGUUCCAAAGAAUUGAAAUAUAAAAGCAAUGAAGUUAAUUACACAACGUUCGGAGGCAAAGAUAACGCCACGAAUUCGAAUAGUUCUAAAUUUGAAUUGACAAAAUCUGAAGAAAAAAUAUAUAAACAAGAGUUGACAACUGACUUUACCACGUUUGGAUUGUCAAAAACAAAACAGAAAGAACAGAGUGAUUUUUUGAAUAUGAAUAAACAAAGAGAUCUUAAUAGAAAAAAUACCGGAAGAAAAGAUGGUAACAAGAUAUACGUAUUUCAACCAUCCUCUGAUUACGACGAGUAUCAUGAAGAGGUGGAGAAAAUUUUAAACACCGAUCAUAAUUAAAAAUCUAUGCCUCAUAAUUAAAUAUCUAUGGUAUUAGUUGUUAUUAAACCUGUCUUUGAUAUAUCUAAUUGUACAUAAAUGCGUACGUAAGUUCGAUCGCUCAAUACAUUUUGUGUAUAGACAUAUAAAUAUAGAUUCAAAACCCUAAGCAACGGGGCUAUUGCUGCUUAGGGGUUUAAAAUAUAAACCUUUAAUAAUAAUGAUCUACCUGCGCUACAAUCCUGCAUUCGUUUCGGUAAUAGAUAAAUUGAUCAUCGGGGCUUGGAAACCUGACCUUAAUGUUACAAAUCUGCUAGUAACUGACCAAUACCAUAGACAAUUAAAGUAAAGUUACUUUAAUUUUUCAAUACAUACGCAUUUUAAUACUAGGCUAAUACAGACAUCGUCAUAAUAUCGUACCUCAAAAUAUAUUUAUUGUUUAUUUGCUAUAAUUCAAAAUAUCAACCCAGAUAUAUUUUGAAUUAUAAUCUUGAGAAGAAAUAAUUUAUUUCAACACCUUAUUAUUUACUAAGGAGAGCUUAUAUUAUUAUAUAAUAAUAAAACUAUUAAUUCCAAUUUAGUCUAAUCAGUAUUUAUUAAUAAUGUUAUUAAUUUGUUUUGUAAUUUUAAAUUCCUCGUUUUCCUGUUUUGAGUGACUUCCGAAUUCCGGACCAUCCGUUAUUUUGUUGUCUCACCUUUUCUUUAGUCCACGGACACCUCACUGCAGUGCCCUUCCAUUUCGUUACCUUUAUCGUCCAUCUCUUGUCCGAGAGCCUGCAAAUGAGAACCGCCCAUUGUCAUUGUAGUUUAAGCGAAUAUUCAUUAAGCACUUCUCAGUAUUAUUUAAAUAACUCAUGGGACUACUGUCUAUUUUUUUAUAUUAUCUAUUAAUAUAGAAAAACAAAAUAAUAAACUUUCCAAUAAUUAUGUACUUAUAAUCUGCGCCAACUUGAGUUAACUGUGAACAAGUCCACACAGUUGCCAGUUCACACUUCAAUAACUUGGAAUUUUUAAGCAAUGUUGGUACUUGGUACAGAUUAUAUAACAGUCUUCUUUUUACGAAUAACAAAUGUACCCUCGAAUUUUAAAUUUAAUGUAAAGAGAGAAUUUCUCAUUGUAAUGAAAUGCUGGAUAGUGAGACAUGUUACUGCACGAUAUGUGGUGUUUCUUUGUCAACACAUUCACUGAUGAGGCAUCUGUCAGCUGGAGUUCACAAGAUGGAACUAAUGAAAGC